CACGGAGGGUGCGAGCGUUGUCCGGAAUUAUUGGGCGUAAAGAGCUCGUAGGCGGUGUGUCGCGUCGGCCGUGAAAACCUGCAGCUUAACUGUGGGCUUGCGGUCGAUACGGGCAUCACUGGAGUUCGGCAGGGGAGACUGGAAUUCCUGGUGUAGCGGUGAAAUGCGCAGAUAUCAGGAGGAACACCAACGGCGAAGGCAGCUCGCUAGGACGGUACUGACGCUGAGACGCGAAAGCGUGGGGAGCGAACAGG
rnacentral:rRNA from 1 species